GCCUUCCCUUUAAAGCACCCUGCUGAAACCGCGUGAGCCCUAGCCUCUCGGGGCCGGGCUCGGGCGGGCGUGUGAGCACGGGUACACCGGGGAAGGAGAUUAAAAGGCACCGUUUCGCAAAGAGGCGCGGAGGGACCUCUUUCCUAAUGUCCACUCUCCGUGGUCUCGAGAUUCGGCGCUACAUUG